UACAUUUAAUACUAUGUACGUAC
rnacentral:siRNA from 1 species